AACGAACGCUGGCGGCAUGCCUAACACAUGCAAGUCGAACGGGAUCCGAGCUUCGGUUCGGUGAGAGUGGCGGACGGGUGAGUAACGCGUGGGAACCUGCCCAGUGGUGGGGGAUAACUGCGGGAAACUGCAGCUGAUACCGCAUGAGCCCGAGAGGGGAAAGAUUUAUCGCCAUUGGAGGGGCCCGCGUUCGAUUAGGUAGUUGGUGAGGUAACGGCUCACCAAGCCUUCGAUCGAUAGCUGGUCUGAGAGGAUGAUCAGCCACACUGGGACUGAGAUACGGCCCAGACUCCUACGGGAGGCAGCAGUGGGGAAUAUUGGACAAUGGGGGGCAACCCUGAUCCAGCAAUGCCGCGUGAGUGAUGAAGG
rnacentral:rRNA from 1 species